UAAUAAAAUUUUUGUACAAAAAAAUAAUAUUGCAUUUUUUUAAAAAAUUCAUUUUCAUUUAAAUAAAAUUUUAAUUCUAAAUAUAAAACAAUAUAUUGAACGCCAUUCCAUAUAUUGAUGCUUUGAAGAAUCGAAUCGAAGUACUGUCGCCAGCUGGGCUUCUCUCACUAGAUGAAUUGCCAAUUAAAACUGAUUUAAUACGAAGAAGGCAUAAGAAAGAGCUCUUUAAACUAGAUAUGCUAAUAUGCUGCAUGGUGGCAAAAUUCCAUUGGACGCUUGUAAUAAUCAAACCAGGUGAUAGAAAAAUUCACUAUAUAGACCCUAUGGGAGAACAGAUGAACUCCAUUAAAAAAGAAGAAGUGAAAUGGAAUUGCUACUUACAACAGAGAUAUGGUGUUUCAGAAAAGUUUAAAAUCUUAACGUUACCACAUGCUAUACAAGCUAUACAAACUGUACAAGCUAUACAUGCCAUACAUGCUAUACAAGCUGAUGGUAUAUCAUGUGGAGUAUUCUGCCUUAAAUUUGCUAAAAAUUAUAUAAAUGGAGAAGAAUUGAUGCGUGUCUUUCCACAUGAAGAAGUGAAUGCAUACGGAAAGAGAGUGGUACAUCUUCUAUUAGAUAAAGGUUUGUGAGAUUCUUUAGAGCACUGAAAUUAAUUCAAUGUUAAAUGACAUCUUAAAAUAAAGACCAAAAAAAAUGAUGCAAAAGUAAAUCAAUAGCUCAAAUUUGUUUGUGUCGAAAUUGUGAAAUUGGUCCAAAAACUAGAAAAAAUUAAAAAAAAGAAAAAUGGAUAAAAUGUGAUAUUUGCAUUUCGAAUAGAUGGUAUCUUAUGGGAUGCAUUGUUUUUAGAAAUAAAACUUUAUUUUGUUGUGAAAAUAUUUAUAUAUAAAUGUAACAAUAAAUGAAACU